AGAUGCUGUCUUUUGCAGUCCUCCGAGAGGUUAGGGAUGUGGGAGGUCCCUGGAGGCCAUCUCUUACAAGACACAGUUUCCACUAAAUUGGAUCGUAUUUGUACAUCUCUACACCUGUGCGUGAUAGUAAACUUUUGCACCCAAAUACCCCGACCCCUGAAGGAGAGUGUGAGUUAAAAGGAUCUGAAGAACGGACCCUUUGUUUAAGCCUUCUCCGCUGGUGGUAUACUUACGAGGACCAGAGGUGAGGUGUCAGCAAGGAGGCCCACAGGUGGAAAGUGCUUUGGGCCAAUGGUACACACCUGCUUUAUUGGAUAGACGCAGAGAAGUAUGCCUGGUCACAGCCAGAGCUUACUAGGUCAAGAAAUUAUGAGCUCCCCAGAAGUCUCUUGUAUGCUGUCUCCUAGUUGUGAGCACCUUUUACCAAAGGUUAUUUUCUUCUGCUGGAUGGAUAAACACUCAGAACCCCAAAGCAGUGUUCUAAGAUUCAAUACUUAAAAUAUCAAUUUAGAUGAUGGAUCAUGAACUUUAAAGCUGGAAGAAACAGUAAAUGUAUCUCUCUCCCUACUGCCUGCAUUGACAGCUGAGGGAGCUGGAAUCCAGGGAGAUGGCCUGAGAGUACCUGUGCUGAAAUGGAAUUGUCUUUGAGUGGACACCUCUUAGAUGAGACCUACUGUGGCCAAUAGCUCCUGAGGAACUGAAGCCUUCAGUUCAAAACUUGUGUGAGAAUAAUGAAUCUUGCCAACUACUGGAGUGAGCUUAGAAAUGAAUCCAUCCCCAGUUGACCCUUGAAUGUAGCCUUGUCAGAGACCCAGAGACAAAGCAUCCUGCUAAUCUGCACUGGGUUCUAGGCCCACAGAAACCAUGGGAUAAUAACUUUGUGUUGCUGUAAGCCACUGAAAACAAACAAAUAAAAUACUUAAGAUGUUCCCCUGUGGAAGGGUUCCAUUGCCAGGGAUCUGCACUUCACAACCAAAGGGAUUAAAGAGAAUUGCCUUCUUCAGAUUUCAGACUGUGGCCUGCUUCUGGUUUUUCUUUCUAUAUUCAUAUAUAUGUUUGUUUAAAUCAUCCUACUUUUGGAGCAGGAAAAAUUACUAUUACAGUUUAUACAAAGGGAAGAAAUCUGGUACAUGCUAAAGUUAUUCAUCUGUAACUACCUGACGAGCCCAAUUAGUUGCUUGCUCCUAUGGAUUCUGAGCCUAAAAUCCCUUCAACAGAUCUUUGACCUUUUUUCAGGAUGCUUAUUAUUGCUUCUGAGUUGUUGAAUGUUGAGUGAAGAAUGACAUUCAUUUGUCUUGAACAAAAGGAAAAGACUGACAAUGUUGGAGUUUAUCUGAGCUCUGUGUUCCCAGAAAAGAGCCAUAAGAAGAAAAGCCACAAAGGACCACCCUGUUCCACCAUAUUUCAAGUUAACGCCCACCUCCAUCCUUCUUCGUAUCAUCUGUCCUAUAACACCCAUAGGAUUCCAGGGUGAACACCUUAUGUA